GUGGUCAGUUACAAGAAAGGUUUGAAUGUUUCAGUCUUUGUUUUGUCGUUGUUUCAUGACAUUGGUUUGAAAUAAGAUGCGUUGAUUAUAAGCAGCCGCACAUGUAGAUGUGUAAGUGAGAGGAUUGAAGGAAGAGGUGUUCGAUUCCCUAAAUCGAUACCUAUAAAGGCUAUCCAUCACACAGAUUGUUUUGGAGUUGAUCAUACUAUUGUAACUCAACAUUAAAGAACCCCCGUUAAAACCGGAACUGUCGUUGUUGUUUGGAAAAAUACGUAGAGUUACAAAUGGCGCCCAACGGGUUCGUUGACUAGUCGAGUCUGCAGAGAGUCGGUGUAAAGGAGCGGGUCGUGUUCGUGAAACAGCUAUUGACAUUGUUUUAGUGCUAGCAAACAUUAGACCAGAAUUCAACCACUUCAUACGUUUCAUUCAGGAUCACAGUUUUAUUUUUUUUCUGAUUUGGACACAUCAGAAAUACAUACUUUUAAGUGCUUUGCAAUCAGUUUUAAACCAUUCUAGUGGCAGAAUAAUCAAUUGUGUAUUCAGGGUUGUAAUUAUGAUUGAAAUCAAAGGAUUAUUUUGGAAAAGUAACCGAUUCGGCCGGGGGUCAAGGGGGCCGCCUAGGCCCUUUGUAGGCCCAGGGCAAGGCCCUGGUAGGGAGGUCAGGUGGGCGAACCCCCCCCCCCCCCCUCCGACCGAAAACGAAUUCUAGACAUUUUAGGGACAAAAAACUGCUAUUCUCAGAGCAUAAAAAGUUAAAAUGAGGUCUAAAAAGAAUAGAAAAUUUUAAGAUUUUCACAUUUUUAAUAUACUGUACAAUGUAAAAACAUAUUAUAUUGAUAGAUCUUUGCAUGUUCCAAUUCUAUGCAUUACCCGAUAAUCCAGUAUUAUUACGAUUUCAUUUUUGCAAAACCAAAUUACGCCUAAUUUUGACGAUGAAUGUCGUCCGCCAUUUAACGCAAGUGCAUAUACAAAUUGAAUUGUGGGAUUGGGGAAUUCCCAUUGAACAUGCGUGAAUCACGUGACGCGAUUUGAGAGAAUUGAGAACCGUUUAUAUUUAGUAAUUACGACAAGUCAACCACUCAAUCUAAACUGUUACAUGUACGGUACCUCCUUUCAGAAAAGUUUGCGAAAGUGAAAGUGAAUUUCUGUGAAUAAAAACGCGCCUUUCUUUAAAUUUUACCGAGUACUUUUUUUAUUUCGGAUCGUGAUAUAACUUGUCAUGUCAUUCAUGCAUGUAGACCUAUAUGUAUGCAUAGUUUGGCAAUCUCAAAACACGUUAUUUACCUACUUAUUACAUUAUGUGUUAUGACCAUUUGUAUAACAAAAUGCAUUAUUUAAUGUGUUAUCCGUAUUCAUUUUCAGAUUUUAUUAUUCAUGGAAAAUUAAGAAAAUUCUAGCAACAGAGACACAAUUAUCGUGUUUUUCAUGUACAGAUGAAAAUCAUGCCAAAGUUAGACUUCAUGUAUAACAUCACGUCAUUCUUCCUCGGGGAAAGCGUGGACUUUAAUAUUUAGAUGCUGAAUAACAACUUCGUAGCGCAGAGGUCUCUAAUAUCUUUUAUUUUGGUAGAAAAUCGAAGAGCAUUUUUAUGUCCCCCACUAUAGUAGUGGGGGAGAUAUUGUUUUUGCCCUGUCUGUUGGUCCGUUGGUCUGUUGGUCUGUUGGUUGGUUUGCGCCAACUUUAACAUUCGCAAUAACUUUUGCAAUAUUGAAGAUAGGAACUUGAUAUUUGGCAUGCAUAUGUAUCUCAUGGAGCUGCACAUUUUGAGUGGUGAAAGGUCAAGGUCAUCCUUCAAGGUCAAACGUCAAAUAUAUGGGUCAAAAUCGCUCAUUUAAUAUAUACUUUUGCAGUAUUUCAAUAUUCAAGAUAGCAACUUGAUAUUUGGCAUGCAUGUGUAUCUCAUGGAGCUGCACAAUUUGAGUGGUGAAAGGUCAAGGUCAAGGUCAUCCUUCAAGGUCAGAUGUCAAAUAUAUGUUGCCAAAAUCGCUCAUUUUAUGAGUACUUUUGCAAUAUUGAAGAUAGCAACUUGAUAUUUGGCAUACAUGUGUAUCUCAUGGAGCUGCACAUUUUGAGUGGUGAAAGGUCAAGGUCAUCCUUCAAGGUCAGAGGUCAAAUAUAUGUGGCCCAAAUCGCUAAUUUUAUGAAUACUUUUGCAAUAUUGAAGAUAGCAAAUUGAUAUUUGGCAUGCAUGUGUAUCUCAUGGAGCUGCACAUUUUAGUGGUGAAAGGUCAAGGUCAAGGUCAUCCUUCAAGGUCAAAUAUAUGGGUCAAAAUUGCUCAUGUAAUGUCACUUCUGCAAUAUUGAAGCUAGCAAUUUUAUAUUUAAAAUGCAUGUGUAUCUCAUGGAGCUGCACAUUUUGAGUGGUGAAGGGUCAAGAUCAAGGUAAUCCUACAAGGUCAAACGUCAUAUAGGGGGACAUUGUGUUUCACAAACGCAUCUUGUUUAAUAUAUGGAAACCUUUUCUCUAACUAAAAAAACUAGUUAAUUACGCUCUACAGUGCAACAUUCGUUGAAAUACAGUCAGUAAUAAUCUGUGAAAUGCACAGCUAUUUGAUACAAUUUCACGUGGGGUCGGCGUGUAUUCGGCUGCCUGAGCGCUGAUUGGUUGACGUGCUUACCAAGACGAAUUUGAUUGACAGCUGGAAAAAUCAAUAUUGGCCGCUCGCUGAGAAAUUCAUUGAAAACAGUAGCUCGUAGGAGGAGUUAAUAGACUGACUGAAUGACCAGGCGUCGCUCUACUAUAGUACGGUUAUUCCUCGUCAAUUAUUGUCGGUUUGCAUCAAACUUCCGAUCGCAAUUUUAAAGAUUCGGGGAAAAAACAACCGAUUUUCUGGCGAUUUUAACCGAUGAAUUCGAUCGGCAAUCGGUUUAUUAAUACAACCCUGGUAUUGAUCAUGAAACUUCAUAGGUACAUUGAUCAUGACUGGCAGAUGACCCCUAUUGAUUUUUAGGUCACUAGGUCAAAGGUCAAGGUCACAGUGACUCGAAAUUGUAAAAUGGUUUCCAUGUGAUAACUCAAGAAUGCUUAUGCCUAGGAUCAUGAAACUUCAUAGGAACAUUGAUCAUGACUGGCAGAUGAUCCCUAUUGAUUUUCAGGUCACUAGGUCAAAGGUCAAAGCCACAGUGACUCGAAACAGUAAAUUGGUUUCAUGAUGAUAACUCAAGAAUAAUUAGGCCUAGGAUCAUGAAACUUCAUAGGUACGUUGAUCAUGACUGGCAGAUGACCCCUAUUGAUUUUCAUGUCACUAGGUCAGAGGUCACGGUCACAGAUACAAUAAACAAAUUCACACAAUGGCUACCGCUACAGCUGACAGCCCAUAUGGGGGGCAUGCAUGUUUUACAAACAGCCCUUGUUUUGAUGUUUUAAUUUAAGCAUUUGCUGGAACACUUAUUU